GAUGAACGCUGGCGGCGUGCCUAAUACAUGCAAGUCGAGCGAACGGACGAGAAGCUUGCUUCUCUGAUGUUAGCGGCGGACGGGUGAGUAACACGUGGGUAACCUACCUAUAAGACUGGGAUAACUUCGGGAAACCGGAGCUAAUACCGGAUAAUAUUUUGAACCGCAUGGUUCAAAAGUGAAAGACGGUCUUGCUGUCACUUAUAGAUGGAUCCGCGCUGCAUUAGCUAGUUGGUAAGGUAACGGCUUACCAAGGCAACGAUGCAUAGCCGACCUGAGAGGGUGAUCGGCCACACUGGAACUGAGACACGGUCCAGACUCCUACGGGAGGCAGCAGUAGGGAAUCUUCCGCGAUGGGCGAAAGCCUGACGGAGCAACGCCGCGUGAGUGAUGAAGGUCUUCGGAUCGUAAAACUCUGUUAUUAGGGAAGAACAUAUGUGUAAGUAACUGUGCACAUCUUGACGGUACCUAAUCAGAAAGCCACGGCUAACUACGUG
rnacentral:rRNA from 1 species